ensembl:snRNA U6 U6 spliceosomal RNA
GUGCUCGCCUAGGCAGUGCACAUACAAAAACUGGAACAGUACAGAGAAGAUCAGCACGGCCCCUGAACAAGGAUGACUAGCAGAUUCAUGAAGGCUUCCAUAUUUUU